UACGUAGGGGGCGAGCGUUGUCCGGAGUUACUGGGCGUAAAGGGCAUGCAGGCGGUCGGACGCGUUUCGGGUGACAGCGGGUGGCUUAACUACCCGAGUGGUCGAAAGACGGUUUGACUUGAGGACGCGAGAGGGACACGGAAUUCCGGGUGGAGUGGUGAAAUGCGUAGAGAUCCGGAGGAACACCGAGGGCGAAGGCAGUGUCCUGGCGCGUAACUGACGCUGAGGUGCGAAAGCCAGGGGAGCGAACGGG
rnacentral:rRNA from 1 species